GGGGGGAGGCCGUAUCCUGGGCUGUGUCCCCGGCGCCCUGUGCUCCCGGGCCUGCGCUGUUGGAAUUGCGCUCGCGGCUGUGCAGCCCCCU
rnacentral:pre_miRNA from 1 species